rnacentral:rRNA from 1 species
UACGAAGGGUGCAAGCGUUACUCGGAAUUACUGGGCGUAAAGCGUGCGUAGGUGGUUGUUUAAGUCUGUUGUGAAAGCCCCGGGCUCAACCUGGGAAUGGCAAUGGAUACUGGCAGGCUAGAGUGCGGUAGAGGGUAGUGGAAUUCCCGGUGUAGCGGUGAAAUGCGUAGAGAAUCGGGAGGAACACCAGUGGCGAAGGCGGCUACCUGGACCAGCACUGACACUGAGGCACGAAAGCGUGGGGGAGCAAACAGG